rnacentral:rRNA from 1 species
AUUGAACGCUGGCGGCAUGCCUUACACAUGCAAGUCGAACGGCAGCAUGGGUGCUUGCACCUGAUGGCGAGUGGCGAACGGGUGAGUAAUGCAUCGGAACGUACCUUUCGGUGGGGGAUAACGUAGCGAACGUUACGCUAAUACCGCAUAUUCUGUGAGCAGGAAAGCAGGGGAUCUUCGGACCUUGCGCUGAUGGAGCGGCCGAUGUCAGAUUAGCUAGUUGGUGGGGUAAAGGCCUACCAAGGCGACGAUCUGUAGCGGGUCUGAGAGGAUGAGCCGCCACACUGGGACUGAGACACGGCCCAGACUCCUACGGGAGGCAGCAGUGGGGAAUUUUGGACAAUGGGGGCAACCCUGAUCCAGCCAUGCCGCGUGAGUGAAGAAGGCCUUCGGGUUGUAAAGCUCUUUCGGACGGGAAGAAAUCGUGGUGGCUAAUAUCUGCCAUGGAUGACGGUACCGUAAUAAGAAGCACCGGCUAACUACGUGCCAGCCGCCGCCGUAA